AAGUCGUAACAAGGUUUCCGUAGGUGAACCUGCGGAAGGAUCAUUAUCGUGGGGCUCCGGCCCCGUCGAGAUAUCACCCUUGCCUUUUUUCGAGCACCGUUCCGUUUCCUCGGCAGGCCCGCCUGCCAACGGGGACCCCAACCAAAACCCUUUUGCGUACCUGCAACCGUCUGAGAAACAAUGCAAAACAAUCAAAACUUUCAACAAUGGAUCUCUUGGUUCUG
rnacentral:misc_RNA from 1 species